GAAAAGAAACCAACCGGGAUUGCCUUAGUAACGGCGAGUGAAGCGGCAAAAGCUCAAAUUUGAAAUCUGGCGUCUUCGACGUCCGAGUUGUAAUUUGAAGAAGGCAACUUUGUAGCUGGUCCUUGUCUAUGUUCCUUGGAACAGGACGUCAUAGAGGGUGAGAAUCCCGUGUGGCGAGGAUCCCAGUUAUUUGUAAAGUGCUUUCGACGAGUCGAGUUGUUUGGGAAUGCAGCUCUAAGUGGGUGGUAAAUUCCAUCUAAAGCUAAAUAUUGGCGAGAGACCGAUAGCGAACAAGUACAGUGAUGGAAAGAUGAAAAGAACUUUGAAAAGAGAGUGAAAAAGUACGUGAAAUUGUUGAAAGGGAAGGGCAUUUGAUCAGACAUGGCGUUUGCUUCGGCUUUCGCUGGGCCAGCAUCAGUUUUAGCGGUUGGAUAAAUCCUCGGGAAUGUGGCUCUGCUUCGGUAGAGUGUUAUAGCCCGUGGGAAUACAGCCAGCUGGGACUGAGGAUUGCGACUUUUGUCAAGGAUGCUGGCGUAAUGGUUAAAUGC
rnacentral:rRNA from 1 species